AUACGAGGGGUGCAAGCGUUAAUCGGAAUUACUGGGCGUAAAGCGCGCGUAGGCGGUUUGUUAAGUCGGGUGUGAAAUCCCCGGGCUCAACCUGGGACCUGCAUCCGAUACUGGCAGGCUAGAGUCUGGUAGAGGGGGGUAGAAUCCCUGGUGUAGCGGUGAAAUGCGUAGAUAUCAGGAGGAAUACCAGUGGCGAAGGCGGCCCCCUGGACUGAGACUGACGCUGAGGUGCGAAAGCGUGGGGAGCAAACAGGAUUAGAAACCCCAGUAGUCC
rnacentral:rRNA from 1 species